rnacentral:rRNA from 1 species
GACGAACGCUGGCGGCGUGCUUAACACAUGCAAGUCGAACGGAAAGGCCCUGCUUUUGUGGGGUGCUUGAGUGGCGAACGGGUGAGUAACACGUGAGUAACCUGCCCUUGACUUUGGGAUAACUUCAGGAAACUGUGGCUAAUACCGGAUAGGAUCUCCUGCUGCAUGGUGGGGGUUUGAAAGUUUCGGGGGUUGGGGUUGGACUCGCGGCUUCUUAGCUUUUUGGUGGGGUAGUGGAUUACCAAGGCGUGGACGGGUAGCCAGCCUGAGAGGGUGACAGGCCACAUAGGGACUGAGAAACGGGCCAGACUGCAACGUGAGGAAGCAGUGGGAAAUAUUGCAAAAAGGGCGGAAGCCUGAAGGAGCAACGCCGCGUGCGAGAUGACGGCCGUAGGGGUGUAAACAGCUUGCGCCUGUAAAGAAGAGUGAGUGACGGUAAUGGGUAAAGAAGCAACGGCUAACUACGUG